AUCGCUUCUCGGCCUUUUGGCUCAGAUCAAGUGUAGUAUCUGUUCUUAUCAGUUUAAUAUCUGAUACGUCCCCCAUCGGGGGACUACAU
rnacentral:snRNA from 8 species